GUCUUAUUGAUUAUAAUUUUAAGUCUAAUCUGCCCAGUGAUUAUAAAUUAAAUGGCUGCAGUAUUUUAACUGUACAAAGGUAGCAUAAUAAUUAGUCUCUUAAUUAGGGACUAGAAUGAAGGAUUGAACGAGAUAAUAACUGUCUCUUAUUAAAUUAUAAAAUUUUAUUUUUAAGUUAAAAAGCUUAAAUAAGAUUAAAAGACGAGAAGACCCUAUAGAGUUUUAUAUUUAUCAUUAAUAUAAAUUUUAGUAUUAAAAUUUUAUUUUUUUUAUAAAAUAUUUAAUUGGGGUGAUUAAAAAAUUGAAGAAACUUUUUAAAAAAUUUUCAUUAAUUUAUGAAUAAAUGAUCCAAUAAUUUUGAUUAUAAGAUUAAAUUACCUUAGGGAUAACAGCGUAAUUUUUUUUGAGAGUUCUUAUCGAAAAAAAAGAUUGCGACCUCGAUGUUGGAUUAAAAUAAAUUUUUGGUGUAGAAGCUAAAGAAGUAGGUCUGUUCGACCUUUAAAAUUUUACAUGAUCUGAGUUUAAAUCGGUGUGAGCCAGGUUGGUUUCUAUCUUUAAUAAAUUUUAAUAUUUUAGUACGAAAGGACCAAAUAUUAAUAAAAUUUUAUUUAAAAUGAAUUAUAUUAAAAUAUUAUUUUGGCAGAUUAGUGCUUUAAAUUUAGAAUUUAAAUAUGUAUAUUUAUACAAAUAAUAU
rnacentral:misc_RNA from 1 species